UACGUAGGGGGCAAGCGUUGGCCCGGAAUCAUUGGGCGUAAGAAGCGUGUAGGCGGUCCGGUAAGUCCGCUGUGAAAGUCGGGGGCUCAACCCUCGAAUGCCGGUGGAUACUGUCGGGCUAGAGUGCGGAAGAGGCGAGUGGAAUUCCUGGUGUAGGCGGUGAAAUGCGCAGAUAUCAGGAGGAACACCUAUUGCGAAGGCAGCUCGCUGGGACGUAACUGACGCUGAGACGCGAAAGCGUGGGGAGCGAACAGG
rnacentral:rRNA from 1 species